GCCCCAGUAGCUCAGUGGAUAGAGCACGGCUCUCCUAAAGCCGGUGUCGGAGGUUCGAAUCCUCUCUGGGGCACCG
rnacentral:tRNA from 3 species